GCAAGUCUGGUGCCAGCAGCCGCGGUAAUUCCAGCUCCAAUAGCGUAUAUUAAAGUUGUUGCAGUUAAAAAGCCCGUAGUUGAACUUCAGACCUGGUGGGGUGGUCCGCUUAACGGCGUGUACUGCUCUGCUGGGCCUUACCUCUUGGUGAGCCGGCGUGGCCUUAACUGGUUGCGUCGGGGAACCAGGACUUUUACCUUGAGAAAAUUAGAGUGUUCAAAGCAGGCCUAUGCCUGAAUACAUUAGCAUGGAAUAAUAAAAUAGGACGUGCGGUUCUAUUUUGUUGGUUUCUAGAGUCGCCGUAAUGAUUAAUAGGGAUAGUUGGGGGCAUUGGUAUUGAGUCGCUAGAGGUGAAAUUCUUGGAUUGACUCAAGACCGACUACUGCGAAAGCAUUUGCCAAGGAUGUUUUCAUUAAUCAAGGACGAAGGUUAGGGGAUCGAAAACGAUCAGAUACCGUUGUAGUCUUAACAGUAAACUAUGCCGACUAGGGAUCGGGCAACCUCAAAUUUGAUGUGUUGCUCGGCACCUUACGAGAAAUCAAAGUUUUUG
rnacentral:rRNA from 1 species